GGAGAAUUAGCUCAGCUGGGAGAGCAUCUGCCUUACAAGCAGGAGGUCACAGGUUCGAACCCUGUAUUCUCCA
rnacentral:tRNA from 1 species